AAAGUCGUAACAAGGUUUCCGUAGGUGAACCUGCGGAAGGAUCAUUAACAAAUCAUGUUGUGUUACAUAUACAUUUGUGUAUGUGCACAUAUACACCCGAACCUGUGCAGCAAUGCCAGGCUAGGUGCAGGUACCAUGUCUAUAGAGUAAUCUAUAGUUGCAUGGUGCUUGCGGUCGAGUCAAAUCGACCACAUAGACGCUUGUUUAGUUUGACAGUUUUAUGUGUAAACAUGAAAAAUGACAACUUUUAACAAUGGAUCUCUUGGCUCUU
rnacentral:misc_RNA from 1 species